rnacentral:tRNA from 1 species
GCCGGGGUGGCGGAAUGGCAGACGCAGGCGACUUAAAAUCGCUCGCCCCCGUGGCGUGCGGGUUCGAGUCCCGCCCCCGGCA